UCCCUGCCCGUCGUUGAUGGGAGAGUCAAAAGAGGCCGAAAACUCCAGGCGGCUUGCGACACGGCAGACAAACGUCCACGAGGUCUUAUCUUCUCAGGAACCGUCCGUUCAGUCGGGUAUACGCCCGAAACUAGAAGCACGCUCUUCACUGUUUUGAAAGCAAGAAGGAGACAGAGAGAUGCCAACCUUGAACCUGUACACCAACGUGCCGGUCGACACGGUCGUCGCCUCUGACAUUCUCAAGGACGCAACCAAAGCUGUCGCUAAGAUCAUCGGCAAGCCUGAGUCUUACGUCAUGAUACUGUUGAAUGGGUCCGUGCCCAUUGCAUUUGCUGGUACUGAGGCACCGGCUGCUUAUGGUGAACUGAUAUCCAUUGGAGGCCUUGGACCCAGCGUCAACGGCAAGUUGAGUUCCACCAUUGCAGAGAUACUCGAGACUAAGCUUUCCAUUGACUGCUCCCGGUUUUACAUCAAGUUUUAUGAUGUUCAGGUCUAGGCACAACCAUUGAAUUUGCUGUGUCCGCGGAUGGAACUUGGACAUAUUUAUCUCUUGCCAAAUCCUGCUUGGAUUAUUCUUUUACCAAUUGCUCUGGCAAAGAAGUUCUGGUAAAGAGAGUUAUGAUUUCUAGAGCUAGCGAUGUGGCGUACACAUUUGCUUGCAUGUGCCAAAAGAAGAGAUCAUUUUUUGGAUUCAACGGUUCAACUUUUUGACCAGCAACAUCUGUAAGAGACCCCUGGAAUGGUCGAUGCUUUGUGCAUAAGCUCACUAUUAGAAAUACUUCUGUUGUAUCACCCCAUUUGGAGAUACCAUCACAAACUGCUCACUUGUACCUGCAUUGAAGCAACUAUAAAGUACAUUCAUGUCGUAAAUUUUGAAUAUCCUUCUUCCUAUUUUCUUCUUGUUUCAGGGGUCUUUCCCUUUGAAUUGUUAUAAGGCAUUAUUGUUCAGGCUCCCAUGCAAAUAUGAAUUUUAAGUUUAAA